rnacentral:rRNA from 1 species
CCUACGGGUGGCUGCAGUGAGGAAUAUUGGUCAAUGGGCGCGAGCCUGACCCAGCCAAGCCGCGUGAGGGAAGAAGGCUUUCUGGUUGGAAACUUCUUUUCUUCGGGGCGCAAAAGAUGCCAGUACCUGAGGACUGAGCCACGGCUAACUACGUGCCACCAGCCGCGGUAAUCCAGAGGUGGCAGGAAUUAUCAGGAUUUACUGGGUGUAAAGGGCGUGUGGGCGGGACUGCAAGUCAGAUGGGAAAACCAUGGGCUCAACCCGUUGCCUGCAGUUGAAACUGUAGUUCUUGAGUACUGGAGAGGUAGACGGAAUGCGUGGUGUAGCGGUGAAAUGCGUAGAUAUUAGGAGGAACACCAGUUGCGAAGGCGGUAUGCUGGCCAGCAACUGACGCUGAGGCGCGAAAGUGUGGGGAGCAAACAGGAUUAGAUACCCUUGUAGUC